UAAUAAUUCAUUCCCUUUUUCUUCAUCAUCUACAUCAAAUCUGCUUCAAUGGAGCCUCCAAAUCCCCAGCAAUUCCAGCAAUUUCUCAGCAGUGUUCUGUCUCAGCGUGGUCCAGCUGCACUUCCUUAUGCUGAAGAUGUGAAAUGGCUGAUUCGUCAACAUCUCCUUUCUUUAAUCGAUAUGUAUCCUUCACUUCAGCCGAAAACUGCUUCAUUUACUCAUAAUGAUGGAAGGACUGUGAAUCUAUUGCAAGCUGUAGGUACUGUUCCGAUGGUUUAUCUAGAUCGUACGUAUAAUAUUCCGGUGAUUAUUUGGUUGAUGGAAUCUUACCCACGUCAUCCGCCGUUGGUUUUUGUGAAUCCGACUAGGGAUA
rnacentral:misc_RNA from 1 species